UACAGAGGUCCCAAGCGUUGUUCGGAUUCACUGGGCGUAAAGGGUGCGUAGGCGGUCGGGUAAGUCUGACGUGAAAUCUUCAAGCUCAACUUGGAAACUGCGUCGGAUACUAUUCGGCUAGAGGAAUGGAGGGGAGACUGGAAUACUUGGUGUAGCAGUGAAAUGCGUAGAUAUCAAGUGGAACACCAGUGGCGAAGGCGAGUCUCUGGACAUUUCCUGACGCUGAGGCACGAAAGCGUGGGUAGCAAACAGG
rnacentral:rRNA from 1 species